AAUUUGUUGCUUUAACCCUCAUUUUAUUCGACUUUAAUAAUUAUUUUUCUGCGUGUGCUCACCUAAAAAAUGUAGGUGAUUAGAACCAAAAAGUGUUGCGUUUACUUUCAGAUUUUUCUUUUAAUUUUCGGGUAACAUUUCCUUUUGGAUAAUGGCAGUUGGGAAGUUUCUGAAUGACGUAAAUUGAAGAUAGGCGUUUUUUGAAAUUCAAGAAGGCGGCUUAUGGUUACAACCAAACACUUAAAACCACCGCUAAUAUAGGUGCCAUUUGAAAGGUAGUGUUUAUUAGAAGGCAAAAAAUGAUGAUUGGAGCCAUUUAAAAAUCCAAGAUGGUGGAUUCCGAUUAUCACAAAACACUGAAAACCACCAUCAGCAUGGGUGUCAUUUGCAAGGUAGUAAUUAGUAGAUGGCAAAAAUUGAUAAUAGGGAUCUUUAGGGGUGUGCGGGUUAAGGCAUUUUCUGAUGCAUAUUAGUACCGUGAGUUAAUAUCUCAGUCCUUUUUCAAUUUUAGGCCCAAAACUAUUGAAAAAACAUGUUUUAGUUUGUUUCCUUUUACGACAAUAACACAUCCAAACCCAUGCGACUUGCACAGCUCUAUAGGUUGCCUUAUCAGAUCUACCAUAGUUUGCAGAUGAAACUUGGGAUGGCAGGCUGCUAGCUGAUUGCAAAAGUACCAGAUCAUAGACUUUUCUACGGCUCAUGUACGUAGACGUCACAUGACACAAAUACUACUUCACAAGCUGGUGGAAAAUAGUAAACAAAGACGGCAAAAGUAAAUGGGAUUGUUUUCAACCAGUAAGCUGCCCUGGUGUUCGUGAGACUGGCCGACAAGAACUCAAUGCCGUGUGGGGUGCUGACCCGGUUGACAAUGAGGCGAACGAAAUAUUUGCAGAUACGUCAUUUAGUAGAACAACUGUCAGUUUGUUGGUUGAAUUUAAUUUGGUUUUUUUAAAUUUAAAAAUCAGAAAAGAAUAAUUAAGGUUUAAGAAUGAUAUGAGUGUACUCGUGAGGACACCCGCUAUCAGUACAUAUGAAACACUGACAUAAUUUUUCCAAAUUAAAGAUCCCGAUUGGCGCCAUUUUGAGUUCCAUGAUGGCGACUUCCGGUUACUACAAAAUAUUGAAAACCAUCAUCAAUAUGGGUGUCAAUUAAAAUGUAGUGUUUAGUAGAAGGCAAAAAUUAAUGAUUGGUGCCAUUCCGAAAUCCAAGAUGGCGGCUUCCGGUUGCCACAAAACACUGAAAAUCACACCCAAAAUGGUAGGUAGUUAUUAGAAGAAGGCGAAAAUUGAUGAUUGGUUCCAUUUGGAAAACCAAGAUGGCCGCUUUCGGUUAUCACAAAACACCGUAAACCACCAUCAAUAUGGGUGUCAUUGGAAAGGUAGUAAUUAGUAGAAGGCGAAAAUUGACGAUUGGAGCCAUUUGAAAUCCAAGAUGGCGGCGUUCGGUUACCACAAAACAUCAAAAACCAUUAUCAAUAUGGUUGUGAUUUGAAAGGUAUUGAUUAGUAGAAGCCAAAAAUCGACGAUUGGCGCCAUUUUGAAAUCUAAGACGAUUGACUUGGUUUGUUUGAUAGAGCCCAUCAAACAAAUUUUCAUGCAAGAGGUGACAGAAUGGGGUCAAUGCACUUAAAAAAUCGGGGGUAGACUGAAUCAGGCACAGACAAUAUCGGUGGCUGAUAAUAUCGGAUCUUCCCUAUAUUUCUAAGUACUUCGAUAGUACCAUUAAAAAUAACUAUGUUUCUAGAAUCAUCCAUUUCGUAAACUAGCAUUCGGUGAAAUGGAAAUCAUCGUACUGACGCUCUUCCUUUUUUCAAAUCAUCUAUCUAUUGCUUUUAACCCUUUCAUUCCCAAAGUUUUUCUUGUGCAUGUAGGGUUUCAAAACUAUUUUUUCUUGAAAACAGUGAUGUUAAGAAACACGAAUUCUUUUUUCAUAAAGAUAGGAGCUUCCCUCGCAGCACUAGAAGCUGCUCAAUUUCUACCUUCUAAUGGUCAAUACAAUUCCCCUAGAAUAUUCGAUUUGAAACAGAUUUUGCUUAGUGACCGCACCCCACAACCCAUAACUCUGGAAUCGGAAAUCGGAUCGAGAUGAAAUUUAAUAGCCAUUUAAGGGGAUAAAACACCUUUCAUUUGAGACCAAGUUUGGUCGAAUCUCCGAAAAACCAAUGAGACUGUAACUCUUAAUUUGGAUACUUCCGCCGGGGCUUCCGGAACCGACGAUGGUGGCCAAUGUGACCAAAGAGACUUUGAAUGGCUGUUAGUGACCUAGUACUACAAAUCUAAGUAGAUGUGGCACCAGUUUGAAAAAGUUUUCACCUUUAUACAUUCAUUACAGAAUUUUUUAAAAUCAACAUUUUCUGCGUGAUCGUACUCUUCACUCUGUAACUCCGGAACCGGAAGUCAGAUCCAUUAUAAAUUCAAUAGCAGCCUACAGGAUACACGUUUCAUUUGAGACUAAGUUUAUGAAAAUCGGUUCAGCCAUCUCUGAGAAAAGUGAGUGAGAUUGUGGUCACAUACACACAGAGAAUUGACGGACUGAAUCGAAUGGUAUAUGUCACUCGAGCCUCCGGGUCUCCGUUGAAAAGACGGUUUUCAGAGCAGUUUUUCUAUUGAGAAAGGCAAAACGUAAAUCGUACGAACAAGUUAUAGCAAAUAGUGAUACAUUUAACACUUUUAUAAUGAGUGGCUCAUGUCCCUUCAGAUUUGACCGCACUUACCGCUUGAUAACGUCCCAGUUUGAUAUUUCUUUUGAGUGGUUUGAGAAAACUGAGAAAACGAAAAUCGUCAACGCAGGCCUGGAUACGGUUAAAGAAAUAUAAACAAAUUUUGGUAGCCUCGCAUCGUUUUCCGGAGCAGUUGGAUAUGUAAGGAUAUUUAUUAUUUUAAAUCUAGUCCUGUAAUUUAAUUCUAUUAAUCGAAUCGUAUAUUUAAAGCAUUGUCAUCAAUACCCCCAGGGUUGCAAAAUUGAUUCGGUUCUGUGACUCCGAAUCUAAAGAAUAUGGCGUGCGACAUCGAAGAAUUUAUUCCGUGCAUUUUAGGUCGUCUUGUUUCAAACACCUAUUAAAUCUAUCUAAAGGGAAAAUGUUGCAAAAUUACACAAACUAAAAAUUAAAAAUUGACGCGUUUCGUUUUGCAGAUGAUGAUCGAGUUGCACUUUUUGUUGCCAACGAACGGAAAACAAAUAAAUAAUUGAAGAAAUUUUUCUCCUCAAAAUAUUUGAUUAUUUCUGCUGCCUCUGCACUCCUUGCUGUCGUUCGAUUCCGUUCACGUGGCUUCGACGUGCUGCCUCGAGGAUCGGCAACUCGUUGGUAGCGAGCCGCGUGGCUUGUUUCGAUAUUCCACCUGUUGCUAUGGGCCUUGGUUGCCUCUAGAUGACCUCGCAUCUGCGUGGUGACUUCAGGAAACUAUUCAGUCAUGUCAAACUGAGGCUUCCAAUAGUCAACACCGGUGAAACAACGUCAUCUCGGUUAUUGACUUCAGAUACAUCGAGCAAUACGGAACAUUUGAACAAGACUGUAGCUUACCCGAGCUCCGAGCCACUACAAUUCCAUUUGACUUCAGUCAUACCGGCUGGAAUAUAAUAUAGAAUUCUGGCUGUCUAAGAGACAAGUAUUUUAAUUGUGCAUUCAUUUUUAUUUGUUUUUUGUUGAUGAUUAAUUCAUUUCAAAUAUAUUUGUAGUUGGAACUGUGGCCACAUUUGCAAUUAUGGUGCCACUGACAUAUGAGCAAGCGUAUGGGGGAUAGACCACUAGUGAAUAAUUGUUCUUAAACCUGAGGGGUAACCACCCAUAUUGAUGGUGGUUUUAAGUGUUUUGUUACCAGCCACCAUCUUGGAUUUCAAAAUGGCGCCAAU